GAGAGAUUAUAGGACAGACUGAAGCUUUGUUUUGUUUUUGUGACACAGGUGCUGAUCUUAUCAUUUGUUUCCCCUCUGGAGUGUGAUUGUGAAUCGGGAUUGUGGUUUAACAGUAAGCCCUAUGGAAACUGCAAACUCCAGCAAUAUCCUGUCGUCCACCUUCUUUCUCACAGAUAUCCCUGGAUAUGAGGAAUUUCACCACUGGAUUUCCAUCCCAUUCUGUCUCCUCUACCUUCUUGGAAUCAUGGAAAUGAAGAUUGGAGAGAAUUAAUAUUCCAUUGUUCAGUGGACAGAUUGACUGGGAGGAGAUGGAACGGUGGUCUGACAUAGAAUUGGAGGCAGCAUAAAAGGUUUAAUUCUUGUUUCAGUCCUGAGGGGGUAAGAUAUUUUCUUUGGUCUAUUUUUUUACAAUAAAGAAAAAAAACCUUUACUCA
rnacentral:lncRNA from 1 species